UACGAAGGGGGCUAGCGUUGCUCGGAAUUACUGGGCGUAAAGCGCACGUAGGCGGCUUUCUAAGUCGGGGGUGAAAUCCUGGAGCUCAACUCCAGAACUGCCUUCGAUACUGGAGAGCUCGAGUCCGGGAGAGGUGAGUGGAACUGCGAGUGUAGGGGUGAAAUUCGUAGAUAUUCGCAAGAACACCAGUGGCAAAGGCGGCUCACUGGCCCGGUACUGACGCUGAGGUGCGAAAGCGUGGGGAGCAAACAGG
rnacentral:rRNA from 1 species